UACGUAGGGUGCGAGCGUUUGUCCGGAAUUAUUGGGCGUAAAGAGCUCGUAGGCGGCCUGUCGUGUCGGAUGUGAAAUCCCGGGGCUCAACCCCGGGCCUGCAUCCGAUACUCCCGGGCUGGAGGCAGGUAGGGGAGAUCGGAAUUCCUGGUGUAGCGGUGAAAUGCGCAGAUAUCAGGAGGAACACCGGUGGCGAAGGCGGAUCUCUGGGCCUUGCCUGACGCUGAGGCGCGAAAGCGUGGGGAGCAAACAGG
rnacentral:rRNA from 1 species